GAUGAACGCUGGCGGCGUGCCUAAUACAUGCAAGUCGAGCGAACGGACGAGAAGCUUGCUUCUCUGAUGUUAGCGGCGGACGGGUGAGUAACACGUGGAUAACCUACCUAUAAGACUGGGAUAACUUCGGGAAACCGGAGCUAAUACCGGAUAAUAUUUUGAACCGCAUGGUUCAAAAGUGAAAGACGGUCUUGCUGUCACUUAUAGAUGGAUCCGCGCUGCAUUAGCUAGUUGGUAAGGUAACGGCUUACCAAGGCAACGAUGCAUAGCCGACCUGUGAGGGUGAUCGGCCACACUGGAACUGAGACACGGUCCAGACUCCUACGGAAGGCAGCAGUAGGGAAUGUUCCGCAGUGGGCGAAAGCCUGACGGAGCAGCGCCGCGUGAGUGAUGAAGGUCUUCGGAUCGUAAAACGCUGUUAUGAGGGAAGAACAUAUGUGUAAGUAACUGUGCACAUCUUGACAGUACCUAAUCAGAAAGCCACGGCUAACUACGU
rnacentral:rRNA from 1 species